UGGCCGAAGAAACUCCAUCAGAACAAGAAGCAUUGAAACGGUGAGAAAAGUUAAAAGCAUUGAGGGAGAAGAGUGCUGCUGCUGCUGAGGGAGGUCGCGUUGAAAAGAGAGGAGUCAGUAACAGUUCAGCAGAAAGCGAAUCUGCUGUGAAAGUUAUUAAAAUUUAGAAACUACCAAAGGAGCGAAAACUUCCUGGGGCCAAACCACUUUCAGUGGAACAAGAAGUGAAAGAACAUGUUGAAAAGGAAAAUCUGAUGUUGUAA